GGGUCGUUAGCUCAGUUGGUAGAGCAGUUGGCUUUUAACCAAUUGGUCGAAGGUUCGAGUCCUUCACGACCCACCA
rnacentral:tRNA from 3 species